UACGUAGGGUGCAAGCGUUGUCCGGAAUUAUUGGGCGUAAAGAGCUCGUAGGCGGUUUGUCGCGUCUGCUGUGAAAACUCGGGGCUUAACUCCGGCCUGCAGUGGGUACGGGCAGACUAGAGUGAUGUAGGGGAGACUGGAAUUCCUGGUGUAGCGGUGAAAUGCGCAGAUAUCAGGAGGAACACCGAUGGCGAAGGCAGGUCUCUGGGCAUUAACUGACGCUGAGGAGCGAAAGCAUGGGGAGCGAACAGG
rnacentral:rRNA from 1 species